UGGGCUUCUACAAAGUUGGAAUUACUGUCCCUUUCUGUGAACCGCCUAACAGGAUCAAUCCCAAGCUAUUUGGGAAAUAUUACCACGCUUAAAGCCUUGAGCAUCGAGAACAAUCUGUUUUCAGGAACUGUUCCCCUUCAACUAGGAAACUUGUUUAAUUUGGAGAUUCUCAUUCUCAGUGCAAACAAUCUGACUGGAACAUUACCACCGGCUCUCACUAAUUUGACCAAACUAACAGAGCUUAGGAUUAGCAGUAACAACUUCAUUGGAAAAAUACCC
rnacentral:misc_RNA from 1 species